rnacentral:rRNA from 1 species
GACGAACGCUGGCGGCGUGCUUAACACAUGCAAGUCGAGCGGUAAGGCCCUUUCGGGGGUACACGAGCGGCGAACGGGUGAGUAACACGUGGGUGACCUGCCCUUAGCUCUGGGAUAAGCCUGGGAAACUGGGUCUAAUACCGGAUAUGACUCCAUGACGCAUGUUGUGGGGUGGAAAGCCUUGUGCGGCUAGGGAUGGGCCCGCGGCCUAUCAGCUUGUUGGUGGGGUGAUGGCCUACCAAGGCGACGACGGGUAGCCGGCCUGAGAGGGCGACCGGCCACACUGGGGACUGAGACACGGCCCAGACUCCUACGGGAGGCAGCAGUGGGGAAUCUUGCGCAAUGGCGAAAGCCUGACGCAGCGACGCCGCGUGAGGGAUGACGGCCUGGUUGUAACGU